GGCAUUUUUAAUCAGGCUUAGGAAUUUGCCUCCAGCCAUCAGAGAGAAGGCUUGACCAGUGCCUGGCAUGCUGAGGCCCUUGGAGGGUGAACUCAUUAUGACUCAGGACCUAGACUCUCAGACUCAGGUGUGGACAGCUUGGCCUGGUGCACCAUCAGGUAGUUUCGUGGUGGCAAUCUUAAUACUGAUAGGUUCUUGCUCCAAAAACCGCAAGUGAGAGAUGAUCCUGGCAGUGUGUAAUGUGUAAAAUAUCCAGCUAAUAGGAACAAGUUUAUGGUCCCAAUAUCCAAAACUGUGGCAUGUGUACAAAAAUACGUAUAUAGAUCUGUUAGCAGAAAUACUAACAGACUGUGAAUACUGACAAACUGUGAAUGGAAUUCCCGUGUUCUCAGAGUUAGCCGUGUUUGUAAGAAUCAUGGAAGAAAAUAGAGUGAAAUAUGUUUCAGUGAUUCCAAAGACAUCCAGGCUUUGAAAACUUACUUCUCUCAUCAGUUGGUAAAAGAGCAAGUUCCCAGCCUCAACUGGCAGUUGGUGUUUCUCUGACUGAGCUAAAACACUGAUAUGCUCUUGCAUCACCUCUGAGCAGGGCUCGUGCUGUUCCCAAGUGUGCUGGCCGUGUGGCCUCCCGAGCCUUGGCUCACCCUGCACACCCUUGAUCGCAGAGGGCUGGGUACUGAGCAGCUGCUGCUCACCCAGUCACAGGAUCAGCCUUUUCGUUUUGUUGAUCUCAAGUAGCACUGUUGUGUAUGCUCCCUCUUGUUUUCCCUGCUGGUAACUUUGACCAAUGCUUCACACAGAACAAACCAGCAUCAGUUUCCCAAUUAACCGGUGGUCUCUUGUUGUCACCGCUGUGGCUUCUGGUCAACAAGCCCACUAGGAUGGUCCUCUCCAGUUCUCAGCAAGGCCCCCAAUGACAUUCCUGCUGGAGCCUUGCCAAGGUUGGCAGUGGCCACCUCUCUGGAGACAUGACAACUCAGAUUCUCUCACAGCUUUGUCCAGAUGUGGUAGGCUAGUUGCCCUUGCCUGAAAAAACAUGUUAGAUUUGGAUUAGAGACCUAAUCUUCUCAAUUCCCAAACAUGCUGCCAUACUCCCCUUUCACCCAUUUUUAAUCCAGUCCCUAAAGAAACACAACUAACAUUUCAUAAUGAGAAACACUCACAGCCCUAAUGUUCCUCCUCACCUGUCUCUCCCUUCCCUGAGGAUAGAUGGAUGAAACUGGAACCUAAAAAGUGAAGACUCCAAGCUCAUUAACCAGUCCCCAAGUUAUGACUCAUGCUCUGUCUACCCACUUUCUGAAGACUUAUACAUCUUCCAUGUGAGAGAGCCCAGCUCUCAGGAACCCAGGGAGCCAGUACCCUAAAAUGGAAAAAGGCUGGGGGAGGGCUCUUGCCUGCUAAAAGAAGCAUCCCUCAGGAAGCCUAGAAGCCCAGGCCUUAGAGUGCAGAUCUGGUGUGGAUCACAGUGAGGGCUGUCUCUUUGGCCGAGGUCACUUUGCCACAUGAGCCAGCUCUGAGGACCCCAGGGUUUUCUUGGUCAUCAAAACAAGGACACCAGGUAAAAGCAGAACUGGACAUAGGAAGUCACAAAGCUCAAGAUGUCUCUCGCAGUUCUCAUGGAGCCUUUGGUUCCUAGUUCCUGGCACCUGGGGGAGAGAGACCAGGAUUCCAGAGAGAGAGGCCCCCCAACUCUUUCUUUCCUCAUAGAAACUGCAAUUGCAAUAUCAUUAUUGCUUGAAAAGGCAAUCAAAGAAUAUGCAGCCCUUCAUACCCAAUAACUAUAAUAAAACUGAUAAUAAUAAGUGA